GACGAACGCUGGCGGCGUGCCUAAUACAUGCAAGUCGAGCGCAGGAAACUGACGGAACUCUUCGGAGGGAAGGCAGUGGAAUGAGCGGCGGACGGGUGAGUAACACGUAAGGAACCUGCCUCAAGGAUUGGGAUAACUCCGAGAAAUCGGAGCUAAUACCGGAUAGUUCAUCGGACCGCAUGGCCCGUUGAUGAAAGGCGCUCCGGCGUCACCUUGAGAUGGCCUUGCGGUGCAUUAGCUAGUUGGUGGGGUAACGGCCCACCGAGGCGACGAUGCAUAGCCGACCUGAGAGGGUGAUCGGCCACACUGGGACUGAGACACGGCCCAGACUCCAACGGGAGGCAGCAGUAGGGAAUCUUCCACAAUGGACGAAAGUCUGAUGGAGCAACGCCGCGUGAGUGAUGAAGGUUUUCGGAUCGUAAAACUCUGUUGUAAGGGAAGAACACGUACGAGAGGGAAUGCUCGUACCUUGACGGUACCUUACGAGAAAGCCACGGCUAACUACGUGCCAGCCGCCGCAGUAACAC
rnacentral:rRNA from 1 species